GUGUACCAUAUGCAAGACCUAGAAGGAAUAUAUUGUUCGAGAUUCCCUUUGCUAGAACAAACCAUCAUUACAACUCAUUUCUUUAUAAAACCUUACGACUAGUUUAAUAGCUUGAAUGAACACAUUGAUCCUUUUUCGAACUCAUUCAAUGAAUAUAAGAAACAUUGUGAACUGAAUCUAUCAUAAGACAAGACGCUCGUUUUUGAGAUUAAUUGUUUUGUAAACUCUGGCUGGAACUCUCUUUUCACAUUUUUCUUUAUAUGAAUGUAAUUAAUUUGAUUAUUUCAACUGUGUAAAUGCUUUUUGCUUUCUUUUCUUUAUUUACUAUAUUUCAUAAUGUAUAUAAGUUGAAUUGUUGUUUCAUUUAAUUGUGUAAAUAUAUGGCUCUUUAUGGAUCUCUGUGAGCCUUUGUAUGUAAAGAAAAUGAAUAAAUAAAAAUAACAGUCUUCCAUAUGUGCUUGUAAUAUUGUGAACUUAUUAAGACUUAUCAAAUGCAACUGUAGGUUGUGAAAUGUACUGUGUUGAAUAAAACUAUUAUCUUAUCUUAUCUUCUUACCUAUUAGCAAUAGUCUGUGACACUUGAACACUUGAGGACAUUGCUCUCACCAAAAAAAAAUCUUUUACCAGUAAAUUUUAUUCCAAUUAAUAAAUCUGGAUAAAACUUUAGAAUACAUACGUUCACGAUUUGAAUUGAUUUAUCAAUUUUUAAAGCGUUACUCAAUCCUCCACAAUUAUUUGGUAGUUAGUAGCCAUUACUCAAGCACAAGUCUGUGUCGAAUGUGGUCAUCACCCUCAGUAAAAACCUUAUCCAAUUGAAUUCCAUUAAUCUAAUCUAGAUACAUUUUUUCAAAUAGUAUUAUUUUAAAGCGUUCACAUUGUACACAUGAUCAAUUACUAGCUUCAUUGAAAUCGGAUAACUAAUUUCACAGUACUUGAAUGUAUUCUUUUGUGUUAUGUUGUAGGUGUGAAGAGAGAAGUUUGUUGUGGUGGGGGGAGGGGACAGCUUGGUAUACUGAUUGCUGUAAUGGGAUGACAGCUUACAAGUAUGGUACUUGAGAGAUGGCUGAAUUUCUGAUCGAACGUAACAGCUCGGUGACAAGAAAGAACGAAGACCCCUCCAUUACACCUCAUAAAUGGGAUACAAUGACCUUGUGCGCCUUGUGACCUUGUGCUCCACAACUGUGGAGCCGACAUCAACGCUAAAGAUAAGAUGAUACCAAAACAUAUUACACAGUGUAGAUGGACAGAUAGAAAGUGUGAACAUCAAAAGCCAUCGUGUGUGUUACCCAGUUUCCAUUCUGCAUCUAACAAUAGUAACCGAACAUCCAACAUCAUAACUUUAUUAUAUCAUCUAGUUAAUUUUGAUAUCACAUUAACUAAAAAGCUUUCCUCAUAAUAUACAAGAAAUUAAUACAUUGCCGAGAUUGUCAAAGAUGUGAAUUUUCAAUGUGCUUUGAUGCAAAUUAUUGCAAAAAACUAAUAUCAUGGUUAGCUAUGCAUAAAUUAAUAGGCAUGAUGGUCAUUCUUUACUGAAUCGAAAUAAGCUGUUAUAACUUUGUCAACUAUUAAUUUGGUUUUCAAUAAACUAGUUAUGAUCAGAUGCCUUAUUAAUAAAUGCAAAAUUCAUGUAGGUUAUGUAGCUUUUCUGCAAUAAACUAAAAUUACUCAAUAAUUAAGUUGUUUAAGUUAGGCCACAUUCACACCAGAGUUGUCAACUGAGUUCUCAACAAUGAGACAAUUUCUAGAUAUCCUUGUUUUAAACAAAAAGUUUAGUUUCCUAACCAGUAUGAGAAACACUGAAAAAGUUGUGAACAAAAUCUUCUACCUCUACAAGUCCACGCAGACUAUACAGUCUCUUUUAGGCUAAUUCUUUGACAACUAGUACUCUACUCUGUUGCUCUACAAAAGAACAUCAACUUUAUGUAGAAAACUGUUCAUGUACCAAAUUUUUUUGUUGACAACUUUGGUGUAAAUGCAGCAGCUUCAGCAUUUAUCCUUAUCCAUUAAAUUAUAUUGUUGUACUUGAGUAUACUCUUCACUUUUAAUUAGCCUAUGUCGCACCUGGCUAUUCCAUUAUCUGCGAGCGAAAUAGUAACAACUAUCAACAGUAUAUAGCUGGCUUUUAGAAUUCCACUAGCUUCAAAAGUUGAACAUGUCAACAAUUCAUUCGGGCCACUGAGACAAGUACGCAGGUAAUGAAUAAUUGAGUAUCACAUUAACUGUUUUGUUAGAAGCUAUACAAGCAUCGUUUGUCAGGUGUGACACAUGGGCUUAACUUUAUAAGGCUUGCUAUAAUGAUUCUAAUCUGAAACAAAUAAUAGCUAUAAUACUUUGAAAUCAUUAAAAAAUAUUAUUUUCCACAGAA